AUUGAACGCUGGCGGCAUGCCUUACACAUGCAAGUCGAACGGUAACAGGUCUUCGGAUGCUGACGAGUGGCGAACGGGUGAGUAAUACAUCAGAACGUGCCCGAGAGUGGGGGAUAACGAGGCGAAAGCUUUGCUAAUACCGCAUACGAUCUCAGGAUGAAAGCAGGGGACCGCAAGGCCUUGCGCUCACGGAGCGGCCGAUGGCAGAUUAGGUAGUUGGUGGGAUAAAAGCUUACCAAGCCGACGAUCUGUAGCUGGUCUGAGAGGACGACCAGCCACACUGGGACUGGGACACGGCCCAGACUCCUACGGGAGGCAGCAGUGGGGAAUUUUGGACAAUGGGCGCAAGCCUGAUCCAGCCAUGCCGCGUGCAGGAUGAAGGCCUUCGGGUUGUAAACUGCUUUUGUACGGAGCGAAAAGACUCUGGUUAAUACCUGGGGUCCAUGACGGUACCGUAAGAAUAAGCACCGGCUAACUACGUGCCAGCCGCCGCCGUAACAC
rnacentral:rRNA from 1 species